ACGGAAAGCCUUGCAAUCAGUCUGCUCUAUCGAGCGGNCGACGCUAGACUGAUGCUGGGAGACGGCCUCUGCGAAGGGCCUGACCAGCAGCGGCCGCGUUUGCGAACGCGGCCGGUUCACAGAUCAUGUUCNAGCGGUCCCUGGGGAUUUUGAUAUGACCGGUCUCGCGCCGCAAUGUGCGAGAGCCUCGUUCCGUAGGUGCAGAGUUCGCCUACCGCAUACCCAAUGCGCGGUCUGCACCCUUGGGUGCAGGCAACACCGAUUCAAAUGCUGGGCGUGCCGGGCGCAAGCCCGUCACCAUCAGCAGCCGGCGCUCUGGCGUUCGGCCCACAGAUCAUCCGACGGUGACCUAUCGAGGUUAAGAUAUGAUCGGUCCCGGCCCGCCCUGGGCCUUGGGAGGCACGGAACCUGCGGAAGGAUCAUU
rnacentral:rRNA from 1 species